CUGUGAUUCGUCAGGAUUUCUUAUAUUAGCAUUAGAAAAGUGGCAGAAUCAGGGUCGUUAAGAUAUGUAGACUUGAUCAAAUGACACUAAUCAGUGCAUACAUAGUAGAAAAGACUAUUGUUGAUUUCUCCGAUGAUAGCAUGCAGAGUGUGAUGCAUUUCAAAUGAAUGUCUGAUUUAUCUACAAGGUCUAUGAUCUUUACACAGUGUCUGUGCCAUGCGGAGGGUCUUGUCAUGACGGAUGACGUUGAUAUAGACUGAUAUCAUUCAAAAUAAUGCAAACAUUUAGAAAUGACAAUAACAGCCAUAACUCAGUGUGCCAUUCGUGACAGCAAAGUACAUUUAGGACAAAUGAGUGUAGUCACAGCCAGCUGUUUCAUGGUGAAGGUGAUGAAUUAUUAAUUGUUUUCAUUAUCACAUUUUUCAUAGCUUUUGUUUAAUGAUUCACUGAUGCAACAUCAGUAAGACAAAGCUGUCAUAUUUAUUAUACAAAAAAGUUUAAUCAUCGAUAAUUGUAAUAUUAGAAGUGUAUACUAAUCGAACUUUGACGCAGAGAUAUCACUGCAUAGUAAGUAACGUGGGGAAAUCCAUCCCUCUGAUGACGCACGCUCUCCUGUCUGAGUCACUGCUCAGUGGACAAAAGGUUCACCACAGUAGCAUCAACACAGUAAUCUGUAGAUUGCAUAAAUGGCUUUGGGGAGAUUAGAUCAAGAUACAAUGAGAACCAGCUGUUCUAAUGUCACUCAAAAAAAGCUACUCAAGCUGGACAUUUGUGGGAAUUAAAUGCUAAUAAAGAAAGGUUGUUGUUUCCUGCAAACUAAAUGUAAUUUAAAUGAAUGUUCUGAGAUUAUUAUUGAGCACCUCUUCUACAACAUAAUGCUUGUUAGAUUGUGAAUUUUUCAAGAUCAGAUUGAUGUUGGUCAACAACUCAAUUCCAUAGGUAUUAGGUAUACAUCAUUUUCAUUUAAGGUUAGGAAAUAACUGCCAGUACGGACCAGUAUGGAAAAGUACAGAUGGAAAGGAGAAAAAGAAAAGAAGACAGCUUUUAACCUUCCUGUUGUCUUUGGGUUACAUUUCAACCAUUUUGAAGUGUUUUUAAUGAGAUAAUGAUCAUCAAAUUGUCUUUGUUGUAUUUAAAAGAAUAGCAUCUGGUGACAUUAUGUACUGCCGUUAAAUAUGUCAGGUGGUUUCAAAAGAGUAUCCUCAGUAAACUUUGAACUAUGACAUGCAGUCCGUGAUUAUCCUUUAAGAAAUGCUCUUCUGAUCUCGUCAAAAAUAACUGUGUUUACCCUUUUAACUCAAAACUAAGGUUUAAUUUUGUGUAAAUUAUGUCUAUUUUCCAUACAAUUAAAUACAUUUUAUUAACAGUCAAACCAGGACAAAAGUUGCAAAGUUGACGGGAAGACAACACAAAUGUUAAAUCAGAAUUCUUUAAAUUUUUCACAUGCACUGUAAAAACAGUUCCGAUGGUGAAGUCAACAAAACUCAAUUUUUUAAUGUAAUUUAUUUGCCCUAAAUUAUAAUUGUUUCAAUGUGCGUUUAAAUAAGUAACACUUAAGAAACAAUGAGACCAUGUUUUAAGAACUCAUUAAUUUGUAAAUUAAUAUCACAUUUUUUUAACUUUCUUAUAAAUACGUUUUGGAAAACUUCAUAAAAAUGCUUUUGUCAACGCCACGGUCAUGCCACGCCCUCAAACGAGAAUACCGCGGUGUGAGACUUCCGGUUCCUCUUUGCAGCGGUUCUUCAGUUGGACACGUGUUUGCGUUGGAUCCUAUUCAAAGCAUCGUAAAACAAGUAAGCAUACCUCCUGAGUUAUUAAUUAUUGCUUUUUAACUAGCAAGUGUUAUUUACUUUUCUUGUAUUCACUGUUUUGAACGGAACAUCAACAUUUUAAUGCAUGCUAGUGUGACCGGACGUCACGUCUCCUCCCUCUGUGACGCUGCUUGGCACCAUGCCAGCGCACCUGCUAUUUAAGUGGAGGAUUCUCCUUUGUGGCCGCGUGGAUUGUUUGGCGUGGCAGCUCGCGCAUCACACUCUCUACCAGACAGCUGACGCCCGGUGCGUUUGAGGAGGAUUGGCUCCUCCGGAGGUUCCCGGUCUUGCAGUGUUGCAACUAUUGUGGGAUUUGGCCGUGGGAUUGUUGGGUCUCUCUCUCCCUUCCCUGUGGGCUCUGUGGCUGCAACUGACCGCACAGGCUGGUGCUGUGGGCUCGAGGCGGCAAACCCAAUCCCUGGUGGUGGUGGUGUUCUUCACGAGUCCGUUUUGUUUGGUGUGCAGUGUCACGGGUGAUUUUGAUUUGACCCCUUCCUCCCCGUUUUGUUAAUUGCCGCCGUGGUAAGCCCCAGCACUGUCCUUCUCCCUCCUCCCUGGAGAACUUUUAUAACAUUAUAUUGUGUCAGUGCAUGACAUUAAGGAUUUUGGGAGAUGGCCCUGUGGGCCAUCUAAGCUAAUUUACAGAUGGCCCUGAGCCCAAUAG